UAUCUUAGGGUUCCAUUCAACCUUGCCUGGAAUAUUUUCAGAGAUAUGCCAUUACAACAUGAACUUGUCCUGAUCAAACUUGAACUUAUCCCUCUGACCACCUGUUCUAUGUUUAAGCUUUUUUGGCAAGCCUGAAAAAAAGAAGAGGAUUCAAAAUUUCCUAUAUAAAACUUUGAUACUGCAUAUACUAAAAUAAUUUAAAACAAGAAGGGAGGAAUUUAAAUCCUGAAGGUUUCCAAUAUAAGACAUCUGAGUUCUGUCUCAGCCAGCUCUGAGUACCACUACACUAAAAGGAACAAGGGAAAAUAUUCUUUAGUUCUAGCACCCAGUCUGAGAAUUUAGUUGAAGGGAAAUCUAGAGAUAUGCUGUGCCUGGCAGGACAGGUUCUUGUGGGCUGGAUUAAUGAAGAAGACAGAGAGAAAGAGGAAAUCUUCAUAGAGAGGUAAAUAAUCCUUGUGCUGAUAUUCUAAGUUAUAAUUGAACCUGAAAAAGAGGAUAAAGUAAAAUAGAGUUCACUAAUCCACAGAAAUAAGGUGGAAUCAUCUUAUGUAAUGAGUUGAUGACUAAUGCAGAAAGUUUUACAGUGUGAUUCAUCUAAUCAUCAUAUAUGCAUGUUUACAAUAGGUCAGAAAAAUUCCCCUAAAGAGCCCAGUUUUCUCCAGACAUGAUAAAUGAAACCUAAUGGGAUUACCACAGAUGUAAUAACCUCCAGGAAAUAUAAUGAAGACUGCCAUUGAUAUCUGCACUGCAAAAUGAUAUACAAGUUUGGUUUACAGGAAACAGAGGUGAAUGAAAGAGGCAAAGAAGAUGCAGUGUGUAUCAGCUUACAUUCUGAUGUGUGCACUUAGUGAAUUGCUCAGGGAAUAACCUUGCUUAUUUAUAUGAGAAUACUACAGAAUAAGAAACCAUCAUGAUCAAGGAUCGAAGAUAUUAUCUUCCAAUGGCCAAAGAGGAAAUAAUGCCAGUCUACUUUUUUCUGCAUGAAGUUGUGUCUGAAACUUCUCUUAUGAAACACCUGCCAGAGCCCAUUUUCUGGCAUGCAGUGUUGAAUUACAACAAGUGGAUCUCGUGUCCAGCUUACUUAAAUCUCUGUGACAGUAUUGAUUAUGUACAUCAAAAUUUUCUAAGAAUCAGAUGUAUUUUUCCUAAGACAUCAUAACUUCAUCCAGUGAUAUCAAUAUCCUCAAACACUAACACAUUCCUCAGCAAAUUUCUUCUGGAGACGCAGUAAAUUUUUGACCAAAUAUAUUUAUGUGAAACAAGCUAGAUUGUUUUUUCUUUCUCCUGUUCAUUUUUUGGCAAUUAUAUGUCCCAUUACAUUUAAAGUUGUCUUACUAAUGACAGGGGAGUGUUGAUCUCAUCCUCUUGUUUGUCUAGAGUACCAGAAAUGUACUUGUGUGUCUGGGUCUUAAAAGUGUAAUAUUCUUCUAAGAAAGGAGAUAGGUUGGUAUAUACAUAGGCAAAUAAAGUAAUUGCAAUUUUGAACAAAAAACACACUUCCCCCUACAAAAUCCUAAACCAACAGAGCUGUAUUUUACCUCAUCUUCACCCUCCUAAACUACUGACAAAAAUCACCUGGCUAUAUCAGUUCUGCCUUUCUUAGCCAGCAAAAAGGGUUAAAGCAUGAUAGGGAUGAUGAGAUACUUAAAAAACUUCAAAUUCAAAUCACAUCUUGGAAGAUGGCUUUGUUUUGCAGGCUCUGUUUGGUGUUAAUAUCCAAGAUGUCUUGUUCUCCUUUCAAAGACUGUCAUAGAAAGAAAAAUAGAGUAAACGACAACACAAAACCAGAAAUCUCAUGCAGACUACAAGUGCAGUGAGAAGUCUGCAAUCUUCUGAUACCAAAGCAAAGAACAUAAUUGUGAGAAAUGACUGUAAUGAGAGUGCGAACACAGAACACUACGUACAAAAGAUACAGGCACAAAUGGCUAAAUAACAGGAUUCGUGCAAACCUGGAAAUGGCUCCCUGUGUGUUUGAGAUGAUCCCAUGUGAGGAGAAUAAAAG